rnacentral:lncRNA from 1 species
CCGGAGUCAAAGCCGAUUCUCGGACCAGUCCCAUCCCACAGCAGCCUGCCUCCUCUUUCGACAUCACAGAGGCUGCUGUGUCCUUCGCCAAGGACUCCCUGGCAGGUGGAGUGGCCGCAGCCAUCUCCAAGAUGGCGGUAGCACCCAUCGAGCGGGUCAAGCUGCUGCUACAGGUGCAGCAUGCCAGCAAGCAGAUCACUGCAGAUAAGCAAUACAAGGGCAUUAGAGACUGCAUGGUCUGUAUUCCCAAGGAGCACGGAGUCCUGUCCUGGUGCGGUAACCUGGCCAGUGUCAUCAGAUACUUCCCCCACCCAGGCUCUUAACUUCACCUUCAAAGAUAAAUACAAGCAGAUCUUCCUGGAUGGUGUGGACAAGAGAUCCCAGUUUUGGCGCUACUUUGCAGGGAAUCUGGCAUCAGGCGGUGCCACUGGGGCCACAUCCUUGUGUUUUGUGUACCCUCUUGAUUUUGCCCAUACUCGUGUAGCAGCUGAUGUGGGCAAAGCUGGAGCUGAAAGGGAAUUGCGAGGUUUCGGUGACUGCCUAGUUAAGAUCUACAAAUCUGACGGGAUUAAGAGCCUGUACCAAGGCUUUAACGUGUCUGUGCAGGGUAUUAUCUACCGAGCUGCCUGCUGCCUACUUCGGUAACUAUGACACUGCAAAGGGAAUGCUUCCGGAUCCCAAGAACACUCACAUUGUCAUCAGUUGGAUGAUGCACAGACUGUCACUGCCGUUGCUGGGUUGACUUCCUAUUCAUUUAACACCAUUUGCUGCUACAUGAUGAUGCAGUCAGGAUGCAAAGGAACUGACAUCAUGUACACAGGCACAUUUGACUGCUGGAGGAAGAUUACUCAUGAUGAAGGAAGCAAAGCUGUUUUCAAGGGUGCAUGGUCCAGUGUUCUCAGAGGCAUGGGUGGUGCUUUUGUGCUUGUCUUGUAUGAUGAAACCAAGAAGUACAUUCACUCCUAAUAAAUAACAAAUUUGGAGAAAUAAAAAUAUCUUAAGAAAAGAAAAAAGAAAAGAAAAGAAAGGCUUCACACCAUGGAAUGACAAGUGCUCAAAUGGCUCUCAGUAAGUGCUCACGGGGACACCACUGUCAGAGUGGUGAGCAAUCAUCUACCACAAAAUGGAACAAAGCAGCAGAGACAUCUCCCUGGUUGGAGCAAGGAGGAAACAUGGCUUUAGAAAGUUUCCAGGUCCAAGGAGAAGCCCCACAACAGUUUGAGAUCUUUCCAGAAUGAUCCACACUCGACCUCCUCAUCCCUCUUACCAAAGAGCGACACCUUGUUCGUGGAAGUAGGAGGAGAUACACACCCAGUACCUGUCCUCAUCCAACAAAGUCGCAGGCACCCAAGGGCAGCCACGCUGCCACCGAAGGCCCCCGGCUGCUCACAACCGCCGGUCAGCUCCGGCCUCUCUUCGAAGGACACACGCGUCUCGCACCCCCUCCCCGCCCCGCCCUGAGGAGACAUGCGUCUGGGCCCCGCGCCUUGAAAAGGCGCAUUCCCACCCCCACCCCUCAAACGCGCGAGGCCACGCGUUCCGGCCUCCGCCACCUCCACAUGCCGGAACACCAGUGAGGGGCGCGCGCUCCCAAAGGUCGGGGGCGGAGCUAAGAGCGCCGCGCCCAAAAAAGGCGGCAAAGUCCCUGACUCGCUGAGAGUUUGCGAGCCGCCAUGUCUAUCUCAUUCGUCUCCUCUCCUCCGACAGCACGCCGUGCUUCCCCUCAGGCACCUUUCACCGUUAGGGAUGAGGGCUCCGCGGCGGUUCUCGGUGUGGCUCUGAUUCACCGCCAUCUUGCUUCGGGCCUCCUGCCGCCCCGUAGAUGGAAAGGGGCGGGACCUGCGCCGAGCUGUGGGGCGCGGUUCUGAAGGGGAGGGCGGAGAUUAUGACGUAAGGAGGAGGAGGAGGAGGAGCGAGACCGGGUCACGUGGUGGGGCAGUGCCCGGGGAGCGGGGCGGAGUCAGGGUAGAGGCCCCCGCCGAGAAAGGGGAGAAAGAGGCGGGCCCUGAGAAUUGGCUCGAGCGCGAAGGGGUGAGUGAUAGGUGAGUGGCCUCCCGACCUCACCUGCCCCCUUAGCCCCCUGCCUUUAGGUAUGGACUUGGGUUGGUCCUGUCAGGAAUGAUCUCAGCUCACUGCACCUCCAACCUCCCAUGCUCAAGCCAUCUUCCCACCUCAACCUCCCAUCCAUUACUCACUUUGGUUAUGAAACACUAGAAAAUAAUGACUGAGGCCCGACCUGACGCCAACUGAAGAUGAACUGACCUCACAAAGUGUUUUCAUCUCUAAUAUCUGUGGCUAUUUCUUACCAAGAGAGUCUCACCCUCCACACAUGGGUGAGAUGACAUAAUGGCUGAUUUGGUCAAGGAGCACAAAUAAGACAGGCCAGGCAGUUACUGUUCAAACAGCAAUGUUUAGUUGUACAACACAUAAAGUCUAGCAACAAUUACAGGACCAGUUUGAGUGUCUGUUUGCUUGUUUUCAAUUGGGAAAUUUAACUGUAAUGUCACCGUAAGAUUGGCUGGGACUGGUAACAUUUAAGAAACGGGUUGUUCUUGCAUCCCCUAGGCGUGGGCCUCUUGCUCCAUCAGGACUUGGUUGUAGAUGAAUGGCCCACAAGUCACCAGCCUUUGAGCAAGUUGUGUCCAGGUGGAGACAGGAAGAGGGUGGGCAAAGGGGAAUUCUAUAAAGACACAGUGUGUGGGGCAGUGGCAGUCAACAUUCGCAAACAUUCAUGCAUCUGAUGGGGGGCUUUGCCCUCCCUUGGGUAUUUUCCAUUAGCCUACAGUGACCACCUGUGGUCAGGCUAAUUCAUUACUCACAUUAAUGGGGAAGGGGGUUGGGGGUAGGAGUAGGUAGGGUAGGUGGGAAGAGAUCCCUCUUAUUGCUGAGUGGACAGAAGGGUGCUAGUUUUUCCUUAGCGUGUACAUAUUGUGGGUUUCUGGGGGUUUGUGUGUGUGUUUAGUUUUUGUUUGUUUGUUUGGACAGAAGAAAGUCAACUCCAGCAAUGUCUUCUUAGGAAAACCACUCUUCCUCAGUGGCUGCGUUAUGAGGUGGGGAGGAUGUACAACCGCACUCUGGGACAGCCACAAGUGGUGAUUUUUUAAAAAGUGAUCCUAGCCCUUGCUCCCCAACAUCUGUAGUGACCCACCCUCAUGAAUAUCUUUAAGUAAUGAAGGAGACACCCUUGUCCCACUUUGGGGCUCACACAGCUGAUCUCAAUGAAUCUAGUAAGCAGAAAAAUUGCUUUCUUGACCCUUUAAGGAAGCCAAGAGUAGCUCAUGCAGAUGAAUGGGUAGGGAGCAAUGCCAUUGCCCUUAGAGAUGGUUACAAGUAGCUGGGAUGGGCUUACAAGGGCAGAAGGAGCUCUUGAUGAGUUCUUUCACCCUGCAGAUGGGCUAGGACCGGCUGACGCAGAUGAUGCAGUAGGGCUGUACUGGCAGAACCCCACUCCACUGGGAGGAGAGGAGUGGUUUGGAUAAAUGGAGGAUGCAACUGGCCUAAAGAGGCAGCUGGCCCCUCCCACCUACUGAGGGCUGAGAGGGGCUGUGGUGGUGAGCUGGACGAGCACAGCACUAAAAAGGGCUUGGCCCUGCAGCAAUAACAGCUGAGAGGAAUGGAGUGAGAAGCAGCGCUUGAAAUGGCCUUCAUUCAGCAGUGGGGCAGGGGGUGGCUGGCACAGGUGGAAGGACAGUGCCCAGGAGGCCUUCUCCCUGCAGGGGGGUUGAGAACGGUUGAGGGUGUGGAGACCAGCAGCUGGCAGCAGACAUAUAAAAUACCUUCUCCAGGGAGGCUCAGAUCAUGGUUCAGGGGUGCCAGGCACCAUUCCUACUCAGCCUUUCCAACGCCCACCUCCCAUGCCCAUAGAUCUUCCCCUGCUGGUCCAAGGUCUCCAUACAGGACUGCUUCUACAGUAGCCAAGGAUCCCUGUUCUGUUGAAAUGUAUAACCUCUGGGCUGUAGCGCUGCUGCUGUUCUGUCCUGACAGGUGCCUACCCUGUAACUUUGUGAGCAAGGGAGGAUGAGGGCUGGGUUGGCAGCCUCCAGGAAAGACCGAGAGCAUAGGUUGGGGUCACUGGUGACCUGAUCACCGCCCCCCUUUCUCCUGGUCCAUUGAAUCUUGGGUCUUGAGUCUAUGUUUUUUUUCCUAGCACCUGAGUGAUAAAAGACUGGGAUUAUAAGUGCUGGGAUUCAUAGAGGACCAGUGAAACACCUAGGCUGAACCAGGAGAUGGGACAGAAGGUUGUAUGAGGUUAUUGUAAACAGUUUCACUUAGUGUUUUCCCUUCCCUAAGGCUAAACUGUUUCCCUGGCCCCGAAUUUCAUGAAUCUUACAGAUUAAAGGAAAAGAGUAACUUACUUGUACAACAAGCAGGGGAAAU